GACGAACGCUAGCGGCGUGCUUAACACAUGCAAGUCGAACGAUGAAGCCGGAGCUUGCUCUGGUGAAUUAGCGGCGGACGGGUGAGUAACACGUGGGUACCUGCCCAUAAGACUGGGGUAACUCCGGGAAACCGGGGCUAAUACCGGAUAACAUUUUGAACCGCAUGGUUCGAAAUUGAAAGGCGGAUUCGGCUGUCACUUAUGGAUGGACCCGCGUCGCAUUAGCUAGUUGGUGAGGUAACGGCUCACCAAGGCAACGAUGCGUAGCCGACCUGAGAGGGUGAUCGGCCACACUGGGACUGAGACACGGCCCAGACUCCUACGGGAGGCAGCAGUAGGGAAUCUUCCGCAAUGGACGAAAGUCUGACGGAGCAACGCCGCGUGAGUGAUGAAGGCUUUCGGGUCGUAAAACUCUGUUGUUAGGGAAGAACAAGUGCUAGUUGAAUAAGCUGGCACCUUGACGGUACCUAACCAGAAAGCCACGGCUAACUACGUGCCAGCAGCCGCAGUAA
rnacentral:rRNA from 1 species